rnacentral:rRNA from 1 species
AACUUAAAGGAAUUGACGGGGCCCGGCACAAGCAGCGGAGCGUGUGGUUUAAUUCGAUGAUACGCGAAGAACCUCACCCAGGUUUGACAUGCACGUGGUACUGAUUCGAAAGAUGAGGGACCCUUCGGGGAGCGUGCACAGGUGUUGCACGGCCGUCGUCAGCUCGUGCCGUGAGGUGUUGGGUUAAGUCUCGCAACGAGCGCAACCCCCGUCGCCAGUUGUAUUUUUCUGGCGAGACUGCCGGGAAAUCCCCGGAGGAAGGAGGGGAUGAUGUCAGGUCAGCGUGGCCCUUACGACCAGGGCUACACACACGCUACAAUGGGUGGUACAGAGGGUCGCGAAGCCGCGAGGUGGAGCUAAUCCCACAAAGCCAUCCUCAGUUCGGAUUGCAGGCUGAAACUCGCCUGCAUGAAGCCGGAGUUGCUAGUAACCGCAGGUCAGCACUACUGCGGUGAAUACGUUCCCGGGCCUU